rnacentral:rRNA from 1 species
UACGUAGGGCGCAAGCGUUGUCCGGAUUUAUUGGGCGUAAAGAGCUCGUAGGCGGUUUGUCGCGUCUUCCGUGAAAACUGGGGGCUUAACUUCCAGCUUGCGGUCGAUACGGGCAUCACUGGAGUUCGGCAGGGGAGACUGGAAUUCCUGGUGUAGCGGUGGAAUGCGCAGAUAUCAGGAGGAACACCGGUGGCGAAGGCGGGUCUCUGGGCCGAUACUGACGCUGAGGAGCGAAAGCGUGGGGAGCGAACAGG